AUUGAACGCUGGCGGCAGGCCUAACACAUGCAAGUCGAGCGGAUGAAGGGAGCUUGCUCCUGGAUUCAGCGGCGGACGGGUGAGUAAUGCCUAGGAAUCUGCCUGGUAGUGGGGGAUAACGUCCGGAAACGGGCGCUAAUACCGCAUACGUCCUGAGGGAGAAAGUGGGGGAUCUUCGGACCUCACGCUAUCAGAUGAGCCUAGGUCGGAUUAGCUAGUUGGUGGGGUAAGGGCCUACCAAGGCGACGAUCCGUAACUGGUCUGAGAGGAUGAUCAGUCACCCUGGAACUGAGACACGGUCCAGACUCCUACGGGAGGCAGCAGUGGGGAAUAUUGGACAAUGGGCGAAAGCCUGAUCCAGCCAUGCCGCGUGUGUGAAGAAGGUCUUCGGAUUGUAAAGCACUUUAAGUUGGGAGGAAGGGCAGUAAGUUAAUACCUUGCUGUUUUGACGUUACCAACAGAAUAAGCACCGGCUAACUUCGUG
rnacentral:rRNA from 1 species